rnacentral:rRNA from 1 species
AAUUUAAGUUUUUAUUUUAUAUUGAUUUUUAAAAGUAUUUAUUUGUUUGAGUAUUAGUGGGAAAGGAUUAAAUUUAUUAUAGAUGAUUAGUACGGUGAUGGGAUAUUUUAAAAUUAUAUAAAGAAUACUUUAUUUGUGGUACCUUUUGUAUCAGGGUUUAUUAAAAAGAUGUUCAGGAUUUGAGUUUUCUCGAAUUUAUAGGAGCUAAUAAUAUAUAUAUAUUAAUGUUGAAUAAUUAUUUAUAAUAUAUUAUUGGAAUUAGACGUUAGUCGGAUUUAAAUAUAUCUAGUUCUCUAAGAAAUUAAUUUAAUUAAGCUAAUUCUAGGAAUUAUUUAUUUGAAUAAUUGGUUCUAGAGUUAAGUAAUACUCAAGGGGAUAAGCUUUUGAGUAAAUUUCUAUAAGUUUGUGAUUAUUAAAAAUUGAAUAGGAAUAGAAGUUUUCACUUUUUGUUGUGUUUUAUAGCAAGAUUUUUAUUGAAGUGAUUUAAUUAUUUUUAGGUUUUUUAUUAGAGUGUUGAAUAUAAUUGGUAUUUUUGAGUAAUAAUGAUGAAAUAAGUAUAUGUUUUUGUUCAUGGAAUUUAUGAAUGAUAGGUUUAAUUAAGUAAUUCGGCAAAUUUAUUUUCUGCCUGUUUAUUAAAAACAUGGCCUUUUGGGAAUAAUUUAAGGUCUGGCCUGCCCAAUGAUUAGGAUUUAAUGGCCGCGGUACUCUGACCGUGCAAAGGUAGCAUAAUCAUUAGUUUUUUAAUUGAAAGCUGGUAUGAACGGUCUUACAAGAAAAUAGCUGUCUCAAUUAAAUGGUCCUAGAAUUUUAUUUUUUAGUAAGAAGGCUAAAAUAUUUUUAAGGGACGAGAAGACCCUAUAGAAUUUUAUAAAUUUUUUUAGAUUGUAUUUUUAGGUUGAUUGAUGUGAUUUAGGGGGAUUUAUUUUGUUGGGGUGAUGGAAAAAUUUAAUAAACUUUUUUUAAGGUUUUUCACUGAUUUGUGUAUAUUUGAUCCGUUUAGGACGAUUACAAGAUUAAAUUACCUUAGGGAUAACAGCGUAAUUGAUUUGGAGAGUUCUUAUCGAUAAAUUAGUUUGCGACCUCGAUGUUGGAUUAAAAUGAACUUUUGGUGUAGGAGCUAGAAGGUUAAGUCUGUUCGACUUUUAAAAUUUUACAUGAUCUGAGUUUAAACCGGCGUGAGCCAGGUUGGUUUCUAUCUUUAGAAAAUUAUAAUAUUUUAGUACGAAAGGACCAAAUAUUAGUUUAAUAAAUUGAUUUUUGAAUAUUAAU